rnacentral:rRNA from 1 species
CCUACGGGUGGGCAGCAGUGAGGAAGAUUGGGCAAUGGACGAGAGGCUGAACCAGCCAAGGAGCGUGAAGGAUGACUGCCCUAUGGGUUGGAAACUUCUUUUAUAAAGGAAUAAAACGAGGCACGUGUGCCUUUUUGCAUGUACUUUAUGAAUAAGGAUCGGCUAACUCCGUGCCAGCAGCCGCGGUAAUACGGAGGAUCCGAGCGUUAUCCGGAUUUAUUGGGUUUAAAGGGAGCGUAGAUGGGUUGUUAAGUCAGUUGUGAAAGUUUGCGGCUCAACCGUAAAAUUGCAAUUGAUACUGGCAGUCUUGAGUACAGUUGAGGUAGGCGGAAUUCGUGGUGUAGCGGUGAAAUGCUUAGAUAUCACGAAGAACCCCGAUUGCGAAGGCAGCUUACUAAACUGUGACUGACAUUGAUGCUCGAAAGUGUGGGUAUCAAACAGGCUUAGCACCCCUGUAGUC